rnacentral:rRNA from 1 species
GACGAACGCUGGCGGCGUGCUUAACACAUGCAAGUCGAACGGAAAGGCCCUGAGUUUGCGGGGUGCUCGAUUGGCGAACGGGUGAGUAACACGCGUGUAACCUGCCCUUGACAUUGGGGUAACUUUAGGAAACUGGGGCUAAUAUCCGAUAGGAGCUCCUGCUGCAUGUGGUGGGUUGGAGAGUUUCGGCGGUUGUGGAUGGACUAGCGGGUUAUCAGCUGCUUGGUCGGGUAGUGGCUGACCAAGGCUUCGACGGGUAGCCCGCCUGGGAGGGUGACCGGCCACAAUGGGACUGAGAUACGGCCCAGACUGCUACGGGAGGCAGCAGUGGGGAAUCUUGCACAAUGGGCGGAAGCGUGAUGCAGCAACGCCGCGUGCGGGAUGACGGCCUUCGGGUGGUAAACCGCUUUCGCCUGUGACGAAGCGUGAGUGACGGUAAUGGGUAAAGAAGCACCGGCUAACUACGUG